GAUAAACGCUGGCGGCGUGCCUAAUGCAUGCAAGUCGAACGGGUCGCAGCUUCGGCUGUGGUCAGUGGCGGACGGGUGAGGAACACGUACGCAACCUGCCCUCUGGUGGGAAUAACCCUUCGAAGAGGGGCUAAUGCCGCAUCCGCUCACCUGGGUAAGGCGUGGGUGAGGAAAGCCCGUGAGGGCGCUGGAGGGAGGGCGUGGCGGCCGAUUAGCUAGUUGGUGGGUAACGGUCCG
rnacentral:rRNA from 1 species